CACCGCCCAGCCAUCCUGACCCAGGGGGCAGCAGCCCCACGGCACAGCUGGGAAGCCACUCCAUCAUUCUCCCUGCCACAAGACCACCCCCCUGCUACGGCCAACCCCAACCCACAGCCCCCAUCCCCACCUUUCUCACGCUCUCCCCGGCCCAACUCCAAAGCAAAGAACCGAAGGACAGGAAGAAAAGGGAGCAAAAAGUAAAAAAAAAAAACGAAAAGAAAAAAAAAAAAGGAGUAACACAAACGAAAACGAAACCAAAAAGCAGCAGUUGGGAGGCAGCCGUGUUAGGACAACUCAGCAAAAUAAAAUUCCCGUUUAUUGUUGGACAACAUCGUUUCACACAUACAGCAAACAGGCCAAAAUCAAAGGAAAAAAAAAAUAAAAAUAAACAGCAACUCCGUGGACAGGAAAAAAAAAAAAAAGAGAACAACCUUUUAGUCUUUGGCCUUGCCACCUCAUACAAACCACAGCCUAUGGUACAGCUAAAGUACAUACACAAAAAAAAAGUUACUGGAAUGCUCAGAAUAAGAUUGUAAUUUUUUUUCUUUUUUUUUUCUUUUUUUUUUUUUUUUGCAUUUUUUUGUCUUUUUUUUUUACAAGUUUUUUUUUUCUUUUUCUUUUUUUUUUUUUUCUCUUUUUAUUCUCCUUUGAGAUAAUGGUUUGGGCCUGGUCACACCACAAGUAAAGUCAGAGAUAGGUAACAAGAGAUAUACACUUCAAAGCCCCCCUUUUGGUCAAUCCGAGAUCACUUAAAAAUGGCGGACCUCCUAACAAUAUGUACAAAAAUAUAAAAUGUAAAUAAAAAAUACAAACAAAUUCUCCUUUAAAGUACUUUUAAGAAAGAAAGCAGGGCCUUGAAGUUUUGGUGCUCGGGAGGGGGGGGGGAGGUGGGAGGGAAUGGGGUCUGUGGGAAAGGGAGGGGGGGUUCUCUCCCCGCGAACGUUGAGUGGCAGCGCCGCGCCGGGGGGCCGGGAUGGGGUUCACUCUACUUGGUGAGGAUGACCACGGCGGAGGGGGGAGGAAGGGCUGUGUGUGGGGAGGGCUGCGAUGGGAGGGAGGGAUGGGAGAGGGGUCCCAGGGGUGAAGAGGACGCGCUGGCCUUUUUUGUUGGUUUGUUUUUUUUUUUUCCUCCUUAUUUAAAAAAAAUAAUAAUAAUUUGCUGCCUAGUCGUCUUCAUCAGUUUUCUGCUUCUUGGGAUCGACGUCGUCGUCCUCGUCAUCCUCAGCUGCCCGUUUGCCUGUGGCUCCCUCAGCUUCAUCGUCUUCAUCACCGUCCUCUUCCUCACCCUCUUCCUCCUCGUCUUCUUCCUCACCACCUUCCUCUUCCUCUUCAUCUACUUCGUUAUCAGCCUCCUGCUCUCCAUUUUCCUCGUUAGCGUUGCCGUUGGCCGGUGCAUCUCUGCCAUUUUCUGUUUCUUCAACAACUUCCUUCUUCUCUUUUAGAUCCUUGGCGCAGAUCUCGGCGCUGGUGUCCACGGCCGUGUCGGACAUGGCGGGGGCGUGCGGGGCGCGGGGCUGUGGCGGCGCGGGCGGCGGCGCGGGCAGAACAAUGCCAAGAUGGCUUUGCGCGAGCCAGUGGGGACUCACGCGGCGCCACGGCCCCUCUUAUAGAGCCGGGGGCGGCCCGCGCGCUGCCCCGCGCCGCUCCCAUUGGCC
rnacentral:lncRNA from 1 species